UGGGGAAUAUUGGACAAUGGGCGAAAGCCUGAUCCAGCCAUGCCGCGUGAGUGACGAAGGCCUUAGGGUUGUAAAACUCUUUCGUCGGGGACGAUAAUGACGGUACCCGAAGAAGAAGCUCCGGCUAACUUCGUGCCAGCAGCCGCGGUAAUACGAAGGGAGCUAGCGUUGUUCGGAAUCACUGGGCGUAAAGCGCACGUAGGCGGAUAGUUAAGUCAGGGGUGAAAUCCUGGGGCUCAACCCCAGAACUGCCUUUGAUACUGGCUGUCUCGAGGUCGAGAGAGGUUGGUGGAAUUCCUAGUGUAGAGGUGAAAUUCGUAGAUAUUAGGAAGAACACCAGUGGCGAAGGCGGCCAACUGGCUCGAUACUGACGCUGAGGUGCGAAAGCGUGGGGAGCAAACAGGAUUAGAUACCCGAGUAGUCCCUGAGCGGGCUGGCAAGGCGCAU
rnacentral:rRNA from 1 species